rnacentral:rRNA from 1 species
UACGUAGGGUGCGAGCGUUAAUCGGAAUUACUGGGCGUAAAGCGUGCGCAGGCGGUUCGUUAAGUUCGAUGUGAAAGCCCCGGGCUCAACCUGGGAACUGCAUUGGAAACUGGCGAGCUUGAGUGUGGCAGAGGGGGGUGGAAUUCCGCGUGUAGCAGUGAAAUGCGUAGAGAUGCGGAGGAACACCGAUAGCGAAGGCAGCCCCCUGGGCCAACACUGACGCUCAGGCACGAAAGCGUGGGGAGCAAACAGG